CCUACGGGAGGCAGCAGUGAGGAAUAUUGGUCAAUGGACGCAAGUCUGAACCAGCCAUGCCGCGUGCAGGAAGACGGCUCUAUGAGUUGUAAACUGCUUUUGUACGAGGGUAAACGCUGGUACGCGUCUCUGUCUGAAAGUACCGUAUGAAUAAGGAUCGGCUAACUCCGUGCCAGCAGCCGCGGUAAUACGGAGGAUCCAAGCGUUAUCCGGAUGUAUUGGGUUUAAAGGGUGCGUAGGCGGUCGGUUAAGUUAGAGGUGAAAUCCCGAGGCUCAACUUCGGAAUUGCCUCUGAUACUGUGCGGCUAGAGAGUAGUUGAGGUAGGCGGAAUGUAUGGUGUAGCGGUGAAAUGCUUAGAGAUCAUACAGAACACCGAUUGCGAAGGCAGCUUGCCAAGCUACUUCUGACGUUGAGGCACGAAAGCGUGGGGAGCAAACAGGAUUAGAUACCCUGGUAGUC
rnacentral:rRNA from 1 species